rnacentral:rRNA from 1 species
UACGGGGGGGGCAAGCGUUGUUCGGAAUUACUGGGCGUAAAGGGCUCGUAGGUGGCCAACUAAGUCGGACGUGAAAUCCCUCAGCUUAACUGGGGAACUGCGUCCGAUACUGGAUGGCUUGAGUUUGGGAGAGGGAUGCGGAAUUCCAGGUGUAGCGGUGAAAUGCGUAGAUAUCGGGAGGAAUACCUAUGGCGAAAGCAGGCUACUGGACCAUCACUGACGCUGAUCUGCGAAAGCUAGGGGAGCAAACAGG